rnacentral:rRNA from 1 species
CCUACGGGUGGCAGCAGUGGGGAAUAUUGGACAAUGGGGGCAACCCUGAUCCAGCCAUGCCGCGUGUGUGAAGAAGGCCCUCGGGUUGUAAAGCACUUUCAGUGAGGAAGAACGCCUGGUGGUUAAUACCCAUCAGGAAAGACAUCACUCACAGAAGAAGCACCGGCUAACUCCGUGCCAGCAGCCGCGGUAAUACGGAGGGUGCGAGCGUUAAUCGGAAUUACUGGGCGUAAAGCGCGCGUAGGUGGCUUGAUAAGCCGGUUGUGAAAGCCCCGGGCUCAACCUGGGAACGGCAUCCGGAACUGUCAAGCUAGAGUGCAGGAGAGGAAGGUAGAAUUCCCGGUGUAGCGGUGAAACGCGUAGAGAUUGGGAGGAAUACCAGUGGCGAAGGCGGCCUUCUGGACUGACACUGACACUGAGGUGCGAAAGCGUGGGUAGCAAACAGGAUUAGAUACCCCUGUAGUC